UUUUUUUUUUUUUUUUAAGAUUUAUUUAUUUAAUGUAUAUGGGUACAGUGUAGCUGUCUUCAGACACACCAGAAGAGGGCAUCAGACCCCAUUACAGAUGGUUGUGAGCCACCACGUUGCUGGGAAUUGAACUCAGGACCUCUGAAAGAGCAGUCAGUGCUCUUAACUGCUGAACCAUCUCUUCCAGCCCACAUCUCUCUUUCUUACGGUCCAUUCUCUUCCCCAGACAGCUGUUCAGUAGUGGGAACUAACAGAAUCUAAGAAACCCAGUGGCUUGGGAGAAGAAGGGAGGGACUGUGCCCAUUUGAAAUCCACAGGAUCCCCUACCAGAGUUUUUGGAAGUCAUAGGGUCACUGAUCAAUUUCAGCACAAGUUGUCUGCUUUUUUUUUUUUUUCUUAGUUUUUCUCGAACUCACUUCAUAGCCAAGGAUGUCUUGGAUCUUCUGGUCAUCCUGCCUCCACGUGGAGCACCUCGCCCAGUUUUAUGUGUUGCUGGGGAUGGAACCCGAGGCUUUGUAUAUGCUAGGCCAGCUUGCUACCCUCCAAGUCACACUCCCCAGCCUCAGCCAAACCCUUCAUUGCUGGUGUUCCACUGGCCGCUGAGGCUUGAAGCAUGGAGGGGAAGGGACAGUCACACAACUGGACUCCUUACAUUUAAUCUACUGGAGCCGGCUCCUAGCUCCACACCUUCCUCCAGUCAGUAACACUGCACACUGCAGGACACCCUGUGCUGCCCACCUAAGCCAGGGAGGGUAGGCUCAGGGAGGCAGCUUGUCCAAAACCAUUAACCUCAGAAGGAGCAAGGUUAACCCUGGAACCAUCUUUCUGGCUCCCGCUCUUUCCAUUUCUCCAUACAUGAUGUCUGCCUUAAGAUGAUAAUCGCAUGUCUCUGUAGAUUGGUCUUUUUAAUGCAUACAGCACUUAGGUUUCAUCAUGACGGUCACAUGUGUGGAUCUUGGACUCUUAUUGUUUGUCCUCCUCCUGCCCUCCACUCCCCCUCCCCCUUGGCUCAGCCUGUCUGUGUUUUAGUAUUGUACGCAUUUGUUGAGUGACUGCUGUGUGCUGAGCGCUCUUGUCCUCAUGGGAAUGAGCAGCGAGUUCAUCCUGAGAAAGGGGCUUCACUCGGGAGACAAACUUGAGGCCGAUGGCAGUGGGGGGGGUCUGUGGAGGUGGGGGGUCAGCUGGUAAGGUACACAGGGCUCUGUGUGUGUGACCACUGGAAUCCACUUUAGGAAGCUGCCCACAGCAGAUCAUGCUUCGUGACCGUGAGGCAUUGACAGCAGGAUUCCCAGGGCUUGAUGGCCAGCCAGCCUAGCCCAUUCAGUGAAUUCCAGGCCAGGCGUGAGACCUUAUCUCAAAAAAAACAAAAAAACAAAACAAAAAAAAAACCCAAGGUGGACAGUGUUCCUGAGGAAUGGACAUUAGAGGUUGGCUCCCUGACUGUGGCAUGUGACACACACACACACACACACACACACACACACAGAGGAAAAGGUAAGAAGUACAGUGGAUAGAUGCCCUCCUUCCUGGUCUUAAGCAACCCUGAUUUGGAAUCCAGAAUGUUCCAGGCAGACCUCCUCACCCUUUGCAUUUUCGGCCUGUGAUGGAUCUGACUGGUCCCUAGCAUUGCUUGGUCCACGUCCGUCCUCCAGACUAAUACUGUAUCAGGCAGUGACCUUGGUAGCCAUUUUCUUUAUCGGUGCACUGCUUGGGUGGAGGAAGGACUCGGGAGGUCAUGCAGACGCUGUGGGUUGGGGAAAGGGGAACUAGAAGAGACACAGAGGCAAUGAGGUGCCUGGAUUAACCCAGCUUGGAUUGCUGGGGUUAAAGCAGGCUCUGAGCAACCCCUCCCCCACCCCACCCCCCAGCACUGGUGACUGAGGAGCGGGCAGGGUUCUGCCAGCUCCAGCCUAGAAGGAUGGAGGAAAGUCUGCGCAGUGUGUUCUUUCAGGCCGGUGUCCACCUUCUGGGCCUCUGGUGUUUGUCCAGGGCUCUUGGCAGUUUUUCUCCCCACUCUCAAAGGCAUCCUUGGUUCCUCCAAAAGGGGUCAAGGCUUGCUCCCAAGGCUGAGGAGUACAUGGAGGCUUGGGCAAUCUCCUUCCUGGAAGGAGAAGUAUUUAACGGCUUUAAAAAAAAGUGCUUUUAGGACUGGAGAGACGCUCGCUCAGCUGAUAGGAGCACUGGCUGCUCUUGCAGAGGACUCUCAGGUUGGGUUCCCAGUGGCAUGUGGUGGCUCAUAGCCAUCUGUAACUCCAGUUCUAGGGGAUCCAGUGAGCUCUUAGGGUUCCUACAGGCCUUAGGCGUAAUUGUGGCAUACACAGAAGCAGGUCAAGCUGUUCAUAUACAAAACAU
rnacentral:lncRNA from 1 species